rnacentral:rRNA from 1 species
CUACGGGACGCAGCAGUGGGGAAUAUUGCACAAUGGGCGCAAGCCUGAUGCAGCCAUGCCGCGUGUAUGAAGAAGGCCUUCGGGUUGUAAAGUACUUUCAGCGGGGAGGAAGGGAGUAAAGUUAAUACCUUUGCUCAUUGACGUUACCCGCAGAAGAAGCACCGGCUAACUCCGUGCCAGCAGCCGCGGUAAUACGGAGGGUGCAAGCGUUAAUCGGAAUUACUGGGCGUAAAGCGCACGCAGGCGGUUUGUUAAGUCAGAGGUGAAAUCCCCGGGCUCAACCUGGGAACUGCAUCUGAUACUGGCAAGCUUGAGUCUCGUAGAGGGGGGUAGAAUUCCAGGUGUAGCGGUGAAAUGCGUAGAGAUCUGGAGGAAUACAGGUGGCGAAGGCGGCCCCCUGGACGAAGACUGACGCUCAGGUGCGAAAGCGUGGGGAGCAAACAGGAUUAGAUACCCUAGUAGUC